CUGCAACAAAAUUUUAUCAUCGUUUUAAGCUGUAUAAGAAUUAUCUUUUUGUGGAUUGAAUAAGUCUACUAAAUGGUCUAUCCCUUAUGUUUUAUUUUCAGUGUUUACAUUCUUUUACUUUUUGUCGAGUCUGUGACUUUUGUCUCAAAGUGAGACAUAGCGAACCAACCUACAUUCUGUCGUCAGCGGCGUCCACAAAUUUUCACUCUGUCGUUAAAGUUUUUUACAUUUUGAUAACUUUCCUAAAUUCCUUGAUUUCUACCAAACUUGAACAGAAGCUUUUUUAUGAUUACAGUAAAACCUGUAUAAAACCGCCGGCUACGGGACUAUGAAAAAGGGCCGGUUUGGACAAUGAGCCGGUUUAUUCAGGUUUCCGUUUUGACCGGAAGUUAAUGACUUGUGACGUCCGACAUUUUGCAUGUAAAAGUUCUCUGUGAUUGUAAAUUAUAUCUGAUAAAUUAAAAUACUUUCACUUUGUUUUUCAUUGUUUGCAUUUGCAUCAUAAUGGUCGCGUUGUUUGGAUUGUGAGACGAGAGUUUCGAUUUACUCCCAUGAUCAAUAAUUUGAAAUGUUGGAAUGGCCGAUUAAAAAAGCCAGAAUAUUAUCAACGUAAUUUCAUCCUUUUGAAACGUUGUCGUACAGUAUACAAUAUCCAUUGAUUGUUGUCAUCCGGGUGUUUUUCAUUAUCAAGGUCAUUUGUUUAGGGGUUCACAACAGGGAACCCAGGAUUUCUAAAUCACUAUGUGAAUUUCUUACUCUGCGAUUUCAAUUUGUUUAUCCAAGUUAAAACGUAAGUUCAAUCCGAGAUGAGUUCGGUGUGUCUUUUCGUUUAAUUGACACGUUUAUAAUGUUUUAAUAAAUAAUACAGCUCACUACUAUACGAUUGUAGGUUCACAGUUUGACACCUGACUAAUUGAUUAUCACAAAAAGCCAUAUUUUAUAAACCACUAUGUUUUGAUUGCAUAUCGAUCAUUGAAUUUAAUUAGACAAACCGGUUUUGACAGGUAAUAAUUAAUGUAAUUAGCAGUAUUGGGACUUCAUAAUUAGACCGGAAUUCGGAAUACACCGGGUCCGGUUUACAAAGGGUAUUUUAACAAAGAAUUUGAAUGGAAAAAUAUGGGACUUUCAUUUUCGGCCGGA
rnacentral:lncRNA from 1 species